ensembl:lncRNA
UUUAUGUAAUGCAUUUAACUCAUAUAUUUGAUGUAGUUAGGCCAAGUAUUAUUCACAAAAACUAUGCUAUUUGCUGUACUAAUGUGUGACCUUUGACCAUGUUGUGACCUAUUGUCAGAGGGUAAAGCAAAGGGUUAACCUAUUGGUGUCACUUUGGACCGGGCCCUCAGCCAGCGCCAGGUGUGAACUCUGGCCGCUAUCUGACCCCAGCAGCUGUGCUGGGCGUGUGGGAAAGUUACCAGGCAGCAGGGGGCGGCGACACUGGCCCCUAUAUUAGGGGACCAGAGGACGCCCCCGGGGCUCUUUUCCUCCUGCUGCUGCUACCUGUCCGUCUCUGUGUUGCUCUGCUGUCUGUGCUUAAGGCUGUACACCCCGGGGUUUUGCUUUACUUGCUUUCUGCUAUGUAAUUCUCUUGCUAAAUGUCUGUAUGUAUUUUUCCUGCUGUUCAUAUGAUUCAGCGUAUUAAACUCUGUUCCAAGAAUUCUACUCUUUUACAGAGCAUCUUUUUGAGUGUCUUGGUUUUAAUUGGAUUUGGAUCUCCACAUCGUUGGUGGAAGAAGGUUAUCAGGAUGGCUUCAAAAUUUGCGACCACAAUUGGCGACGUACGAAGGGACAAGGAAUUAAGGUGAUUGCUGGGAGCCUUGGGAAUGUUAAAGCCUUGCACAUCAGAGAACACCAAGCGGCCGCUACAAUAAGGUAAGCAGAGUUUUUUUUUCUGCUCAAUGUUGGUGUUGUCUGAGUGCAGAAGGGGGGUUCCACCUUGGCUCCUAGUAGAUUUCACCUAACCUUGAAAAGGACUUUAAUCAAAUGGUCGCUGUUAUUCUAAGUGAUAAAGUGUUACACUGUAAAAAUAAUGUUGCGGAUGCUGAAGGAGUGGAGUUUAAUACUGCAUCAUAUGUGUGUGUGUUAUUCCUGUAACUUGUGUGACCCGCGGGGAGUGUGAGUGAGCGCUGUGUGUGUGUGCGUAUUUGGGGUUUUUUGUGUGAGAGGCUGCUCUGCCCUGUGCUGGAGUACGACUCCAGGGCUGUGUUGGGGGAGUUUGGGUUUAUUUUUCCGCUAUUCUUUAGUGCAUCUGAAGAAUAGGCGUAAGUUGCGCAGAAGUAAAAAGUUGAAGUGAUGAAAAGUGAUGAAAAGUGAUAAAAGUGAUGAAAAGUGAAAUAUAUGUCGGCACCCCCAAGGUGGUUACCGCUGGAAACCUAGUUAUCCAUUUAAGUAGAUAAGGUGAUAUAGGCUAACUAGGUUAACCAUUUAAUUGGUUAACCUGGUUAACCCAAGUGAAUUGCUAGGUAGUCAGGACUGCUCGGGCUUUGGGGGAAUUUUGGAGAUAAGAACUCAGCACGUAACGCGGGGGCUUGGGGCUCGCAGUGGGAUUCUGAGGGCUUUCGAGUCCACCGGUCUGGACACGCUGGGUAACUGCGCGCGUCGCUGUAUGAAAGGCGACACCUUCGGCCAAAGUGUAAAUAUGUAAAUAGCUGUUACUAACCCUUAAGUAUAAUCGCUGCUGUAAAUAUUGCUAAGUAGUAGUCUAGAGUAUAACCAUGUAUUGCUGUAAAUAUUGCUUAAAAUAACUCUUGCUGUAAAUAAGAGGAAUACGCGUAAGGGGUGGGUUUUGAUAAAUAAAUACGGAAAAGGGAAGUUAGUAGGCAGAUGAAUAAAAAGUUGUAGAGGGACUGAUUUGAGAGACUUAAAAAAAACCUGAGCUCUCUGUGCUGCAGAGCGCUGUGUCUGCAGGCAGUUUGUGAAUCAUCCCUACGGUAUGUGGAGGAGUGAGAGGAGCAUCAGAGCAGUAAAAAGAGAUAAGUCUGCAAAAAUUAAGAGUUGUUGAAUAUAAAGAGGAAAAUAGACACUGCUGCUGAAAUAUAAUGUUGUUGUUUAAGGAAUUUAAACAGAAAGAUCUGUAGAAAUAAUAUUUGUUAAGCAGCAACAUGAAGUAAGGUGGAAAAUUUGUGGGUAAAUUUGAGUAAAAGAAAAUAUUAAUUACCAAAAUAGGGAUAAUGAGUAAAUAGGGAUUGCAGGCACUUUUUUGGAUUAUUAGCUUAAUAAAAGUAUGACCAAAAGUUAAAUAAAUUGGAAAUAGAGCUGCUUGACUAAAAAAAAAAAAAAGGAUAACCUAACCUAGAGCUAAAUUAUAACAUAUCCAACCUAAUAACAGUAAGAAUGAGAACUAUAAACUAAUUCUAAUAAUAAAACAUAGCUGGGAUAAAACCCAGGCCUAAAAUAAUUAGAGGGAAAGUAAAUAAAUCACACAAACAAAUAAUAAAUGAAACAGAGAGGUUUGUGUUGUGUUUGGAGAAAUAUAGAAGGCAGUGGUGAUGAUCUAAGAACAUCUGAACAUCUUAGUAAGGAAUGAGAGAUAGAGACCAAAUAAAAAGAACAUGUUUGGGCUACAACGGAGAUAAGAGAGUCAAAACAGCAUCCAUAAAUCGAUCUCAGUAAAAUGCAGGAGUUGUAGAAGAAUCUAAUAAUGUCUCAGAGUUUGCAUGUGAAAUGUAUAUUGAGGGUUUGUUAUCACUCACCAAAGAAUAGUAAAUAAUGAAGUUUUGUCUGUUGUAGAGAGUUCUGCCGAGAGGUCAUAAACUCACCCAAAAGCUUACAGAGAGUGCAAGAGGCACCUGAGUAAUAUGAUGUGAAAUGAAUGAUUGUUGGAAAUAAAUUGUGUGAAGCUUAGUGGAGUUCAGAAUAAACAGGCUGACAUGUGGGGUGAAGUGGUCAUGAGGACAGAUAUGAACAAAUUAACAAAAAGAGACACCUGCUAGAGAUCUGUUUAAAAUGCUGCCAUCACAAAUAAGUAGUUGGGAAAAGAAAAGAAGGUAGACAGGUUUAAAUGCAACUAACUGAUGUAUUAAACCCAGAGCAUAAGAGCUAAAAUCACUGGAUGGAAAAUAGUGAAGUGAAAUAGAAGAGUUUUGUUGGAAAUGGUGGUUUAAUAAGUCAGAGAUUGUGACUUAACAAUUUCAAGUAAAGUUUAGCGCCUGUUGAGUGUGGCAGAGGGAGACAGUAGCAGAAAAAAAAGGAAAAGUGUUGUACUGAGAGAGCUGACAUCAGCUCAGCCACUGCUGCAGGAGGCGGCCCGUAAACAACGUCACAGGGUGUAGCUGGCUCAAGUUGCUCAGACUGUGGAGUGUGUGGGGUGGGCCCUGACAUCCUGCCAAGAGUGUCCUUGACCAGUGCACAGGCUUUCAAGUGAUCUAAGCCAAAUGCAAGAGUGUGAGAAGAAGAGUAAAAGACUGAACUGCAUGUCUCAAAGAGGUUAUUGUUAUGGUGAGCUUGUGUGAAGCUCAGAGGAGUCACCUGAGACAGGAAGCAAAAUUGUUUGCUUAAAAAAGAAAAAAGAUGUAACUUGUUUGUAAAGUUUAAGGCCCAUAUCAGUGAAGAUGCUUAAACAAGUGAUCCAAUGCUGAGUACUAUGAACAAAAAACAAAAUGUAAAAAAGAAUAGUGCCCAUCAGAGUGAGGAACAGGAAGAAAGAAGCUCUAAAUUUGAGAAUAAACUAUUAGAAGAAACACCUGGGAGGAAAAUGAUAAGGCCAGUAAACUGGUUCUCAGGUAAAUUAAAAUAAAUAUAACAAACUAUUAAAAUAAGAAAAGGGAAGUAAGACAGAACUGAAUGACAGAGGGGCAUAAGACAUAACAGUAGAGAAGCAGUGGAAAGAAUUGAGAAUGGUAUAAUUCAGUGAGUAAACAAAAAGCCUAAGUACAAUGACAGCUGAUUAGAGUGUAAUGGUAACAAUAACAAGACAGUAAUUAGAAAGAUGUAAUAAAUCAUGCCAUUAAGUGUAAUAGUAAAGUAAGAGAAAGAGUAGGUAUGAAUGAAAAGUGAUUACACUCGAGCACUGUAGAGGGAAAAAUUAAAAAAGUGUAAAUUUAAAGGAAAAGAAUAUUUGGCUGGGAAAAGAAACAACAGAAAUAAAUUUGUGGGAUGCAUGGCUGGUUAACCUGCAGCUGUGGAUCAUUAGAAAUGCUGAUCAAUAAAAUAAAAGCAUGAUUAGAUAUUGUAUGGGGGAAGGGAUUAUUAAAGGGAUCUUUGGUAUCUAAAACACUCGCCUUGAUGCUGGUCAGACUGUGUGUAAUCCUUCUUCUAUAGCUAUAAGAUAAAUAACAUUUAGAAGAGUGUCAGAGGUGCGUGACAUAAGAGGGCCUUAACCCUUUGAGGCCUCGAGUGUCAGGCUUGAAUCAGGAAGUAUUUAAAUUUUAAGAGUCCCAAAACAUCAGAGUGAUUUUUACCAUCCAAGAAAGUAAAUAAAGAAAUAAAUUGCACUUUAUACAUUUAAGGAAUAACUUGCAAAAUGCUGUGUUUAGCAAAUGCAAUAUGGUAAUUCUUACAUAUGCAAAAUUACUAUUGCUUUUAAUUUGUCAAGUUUAAUAGGUAUUGUGACAAAAUUUGGGGGUAAUUGUUUCAGGAAUCAGGGUUUUGAAUAGUGACAGGGUUGAUCCCACAGCUGCAUCUUGUCACUUACAGGAAAGUUGAGCAGAAAAACAUAAAAACUCUUGUAUAUGAUAAUAAAGCCCCUAUGAUCUUGUUUUAGUUUUACAAGAAAAAUAAAAUAAAAGCAAAUAUAGAUAAAUCUCUGCUGCCAGUAGGAAACAGAAAGCUCCCUGAAUAAGCAGUGUGCAUCAUGCAGGUGGAGAUACACAGGAGCAGGGUUUGAAGGGGAUGACAGAGCCUUUGUUCCAGCAAAAGCUGGUAAUUAGAAAUAAAACACAUUAACCUAAAAUGCAAUAAGGAGAAAUCAAAAGUUGAACCUUUGGACUAAAAAAACAAAACAAAAAACAAAAACCAUGACAAAAGUGAUUAUGGCUUAGAAGAGGAGAAGUAAACACGAGAAAGUUUGAGAUGUAGGAAGUUAGAUAAAGGAGCUGAAGAGUGAAGAGUGAUUAGAUAGGUGGGACAAAGAAAGACGUGAGUCAGAGGAAAGGAAGCUAAAUAGGAGAAGUCAAAGACCAGGAGUAAGAUAAUGGAGAGUAACAUGAGGUCGAGCUCACAGGCAAAAGAAAAAAAGGUGGAGCAAAUGAAAACAGUUACUAACUAACUGAUGUAUGCACAUACUCGAAACAAUGACUCUCCUGCUAUGAAAAAAAAAAAAAAAAGGGAAAUAACUCCUUACAGAUGAAGGAGCUCACCAACUGAAGGGGAGAAACACAGAUCACCAGUGAAAGACACCAGGCCAUGAGCCUGUGGAGUAGAGCAACACUGGCACUGCGAAGGCCUACGUCACUAAUGAGGCCUGCACAAGGGUGGAGAGGAGGAGUCAGCUGGAUGACGACAUCCAAUGGUUGGCACAUGUGAAAGCCCAGGAACUGCAGAGAGGAGUGUCCAAGUGAAGAUCCACAAUUCAUGAAACCGAGUCUCCUCGAGUCCAAUGAAAGACUGUAUCUGCAGAGGGCUGGAAAAGUGUAUUAAAACACACUUUUAGUCAGCUGACAUACUCAUCAAUCUGCUGAGUGGCCUCUAAGAACCAACAUUGUCUGCAUCUGGGAUGUUCUCUGUGUGGAUGUUCCUGGAGAACUCUGAGAGGAAUGUGGGCAGCACCGUAACAACAAGGAAGUUACUGCCAAGAGAAAUCUUCAGUACAUGGACUGUGACUGAUACCAGAGUACUAACUAUCCAUGAUAUCUGCAGUGAACAACAUGAAGCAGCUGCAUCAGUAAUGCUCCCAGCAAACUACUAAGUUUAAAGCCCUGGGCUCCACUCCUUGUGUUACUCUCCCAGUAGAAAAAGAACACAUAUAAUAUGAACUAGGCCACAUGAAAGCAUUAGAUAGGAAAUUAUUACAAAUAUAUUCAUUACUAACACUCUUACAUUAGAAUAUUAUUGAAGGUUAGGAAAUUUGAAUACAUAAGGGGCGUAGACAUGACUCUCAUUGACACUAGAACAGACACAGGGCAUUAGAACCCCAGUAGGGCAGGGGACAGAUAAGUAAACUUAGAGAAGUUAUUAAUCACCUUAUGAGCAUUGCAUUAUUGAAGGGAUGAAACAUACACAUGGGGAUUUACUAAAAGUUGGGGUAAUGAUGAAACUCCGGAUCCCUGGUAACAUGAAAUGAGAAAUUUAAACAUCUGCUGUUUCUGACCCUGGUACACUGCUCUUGGGUAUCCUCCUGACAUGUAUGUAACUGUGUGGGUGCAAAUAUGUGUGAAUCUGUAUGCAGAUAUGACAAAUAAUCUGUCUUUUAUCUUUUUCAGUGCGGCUACAUAUAGACCAGUGGCAGCUACCUCACUUCAUGUGUUGAAGCUAAUAGUAAGAUGCUAGCUCUAAACGUGCAGCACUAAACCAUCCACAGUGCUAUAAUUGAGUGUGUGAGCAAUUUGUAGUUCCUUUCAAACAGAAGAAAGAUAGAAAUGAAUGCAGUGUGGAGGAGAAAGCAGCGAAGGAUUCUGUCAUAAUCUUAACUGCAUUGGGAAAAGGGGGGAACAUAUAGCUUAGCAGAGCUAAAUUGUUAACUAUCCCAAGGAAUGAACCAAAAAAAACAAAACAAAAAACAAUUUAGGAGAAAAUCUAAAUUAUCAGAUAUUUUGGAGGGAAAGAGGCUAAAGCCUGAUCCCCUACAAAAAUGAGCAAACCUCAAUUUAGAAAAAUGGGGCCUAAAUUAUCUUUCCUGUGUGUGGCAGGGUCCAGUUGUCUAUGGAUUGACAUAUUUAAAUUACUCAAAUGCAUACUCUAGCAAAAACUGCAGAACUAAAUGACUCUAUUCUAGUUCUAUUCUAGUUACAGUGUGCAGAGGUAGAGUUUGAAGCACUGAGGAGGGCCAUGCAGUCUGACCGGGCACUUGGCAACCAAAAGGAAAGAGGAGAACAUUUCAUUGGUAUGGGGCAAACUGAGAAGAUUAGGGUAGAGGCAGAGUUGAGUCAGCAUGAUUAAACCUCUAUAGGUAAGCAACUAUUGACCAGGUACAAUCCAAAUUUACGAACUGUUGAAGUAGACCUUUUACCCUGCAACUAGAACUGUUUGUUUUUCAGGAGGUCUCAAUGUUCCUCAUGGCCAUCCAGGUCUAUUGUAAACAUAACACCAGUUACAUGUAUUAUUUACGGUCCACAAUUUACUAUCACUCAGAUUAAGGAAAAUGGGGUGUGAAGUAAUUGUCUGCCACCAAAAUGUGUAACAAGAUCCAAUUAGAGAAUUUCUUAUGAUUACUGUCUAUAAACAACCCAUGCAUGAAAAUUUGUAUGAAUAGUCUAAUACAGCUGUUUUAGCUUUUCAAUGGCUAUUUUUCUAUAAGAACAAAGGCUGUCAUGCUGUAUAUUAUUCAACUCAAGGUUGAACAGGCAUGAAAUCAUGAUGCCAGUCAUCUAAAGGCACAUUAUUAUCUAAGGAUAAACUGCAAAAAUAAAACAUUAAAACACAAUUAUUUAUCUGACCCCCUUUUAGCAAGAAAUUUGGAGAGGAGGAACUCCCUUUUUAACAGGAAUAAAUGCCCAGUAGAACUGGGCACAGGGGGAGUGGUCAUCUGCUGCGACCAGCUGAGUAAGGAGGAGGAGACAGGACUAAAAACAUGCUGUGUAGGAGAGCCAGAGAUUGAUAAUAACUAAUAACUAAUAAUAACUCAAAAGAGAGACCUAAAAACUGGAGGCCUGGCUUCCCAUUCUACUUUUAAAUAUUCUAGUAAGCUUAAAGUUUGAGAGUCAAGUGGGGAAAGACAGUACUAUAGGAGCAGGAUGGUGAAUUAAAAAAACAGAUUUAACAAGGAGCCUAUGAAGAGAAAUCAAUAGGAGAAAUGUACUCUGUCAUUCUAGUCCCUUUCAGCAUUCAUGUUGCAACAUUUUGAUGUAGAUGGAUGCUUUUUAAGGAGUUACAAUGUCUACAACAUCCUGAUAAAAAACAAAUUACAGUGGGACAGCCUAGAAGUAAUAAAUGCAUCAAUUUGUCUUCCAGCAUCACUCUGGGACAGGACUUUAGAGAUCUUGCAGAAAUUGAAGAAAGCAGUCCUGAAAAAGCACAUAUUAGUGCAUAUUGGGAUUUAAAAAAUUACUCCAAGAAACCUCACAGUGUUAAUGGAGACCAAGGUAAUGCCAUUCAGAGCAUUCCUUUAGGUUGACUGACAGGUGUGUGUUGUUUGGCUUCAUGGAUGAAUGAGAGAGAGGGUGUAAUCAGCACGGCAGAGGUAUGUUGUGUUUUUUGUGGUGUUACCUGAAGGAGGCAUGUGUUAUGUAAACAGAAAUAGAUCUUGGGGUGGAACCUUGUGAAGCUCAAUGGUUAGUCUUGUGUAUGUGGGAGGAUUCUUAGAAUAACAUGUUCACAAGUAUCGAACAUAGAGAUCAAUCCACUGUCAGAGGCCUUAAGAAGAUCAUUUUAACUUUCACCAAAGCUGUUUCUAUACUGUGAUGUGCUCUGAAACCUGACUGAAACUCUUUAAAUAAGGCAUUCCUCUGUGGCUAUUUUACAGCAUCUCUUGUGGGGAUUUUUGACAUAAAGGAAAGUUGGAGGCCUAUAAUUGGCUAGGACAGUUGGGUCAAGUGAUGAUUUUUGAGUGAUGGUUUAACUACUGCCAACAUGAAGAACUGUGUGGGAAGUUUGAUCAGCCAUAUAGCCAGCAACACUAAGUAGAGGGCUAACAGUGUUAAUGAUGGAAUGUGAAUUGGCAGCCAGUAACAGAGUUAAUGUUUAUCCAAAUUCAGCUUAUAAAUAUGAAGAGGCAAUAACCCAGCUAGUAGUCGCCCUAAAGCUCACUAGUGCUUUGGCUGUGAUUAGAUGUCUUGAUCACAAGAAAACAGACACAUGAAUGGCUAAAUGAAACAACUUGUGGCAGCUUUACUAUGUGUAACCACUGACUCAUUUUAAAUAGUUUAGGACAGCCAAACUACAGACCAGUUGCUAGGUUCGGCAGGGCUACAAUAGAAAGCGAGGCGAAUACGGAAUGAAAUGGCUGGAGACAGGAAUUUGAGCAGCAACAGUUAUUAUUUUGCACAAAAAUAAAAUAAGCAAGACACAAAUUCCACAUUGACAGUAGUAAUGGUAAUAAUAACAAUAACAAUAAUAAGAAUAAGCCGGCAAAACAAAAAUAACCCCAAAAAUAGUCAUCUGAGCUCAAUGUUCAAUUGUCCUUUUGUCUUUGGUCAUUUGUCAAGUCAGAAAUUCUUAGUCUAGUUCUUUUUCUCUUUCGUUUGUGGUUUGUGUGUUACCACUUCGAAGUCUCCGUCGAGGAAGAAGAGUAAGUUCCUCUGCAAAGUUCAGUCCGGGCUCAGGCUCGCCAUCUCCAUCCGGAGAGAAUCCAUCGUAAUCCAGAAUCUUAGUUCCUUCCACACGAACAAGGGAAAAAAACCUAGCCUGCACAACAAUAUUAACAUUAUUGCACACAGCCAGCUCCGUUUCUUCUCUCGUAUCACAGCUAUAGCUUCAGUUCUUUGUCUUUUCCACAUUACCACAGUAAUACAUUACAUGCAUGCUUUGAAUAUAUCUCUCGUUGUACAUGAAAUUAUUUUAACCAUGUAAAACAACAAAUGAAUUUCUCGUUCUUUUUAACCAUGAAAUUGUGAUUAAUAGGUAUAAACAGCAAGAUAAUGGAUUUUUUCAAUCAUCCUUCAAGUAUACUAAACAAAUUCUACCACAAACAGCAUUUCCAUCGUUUUUUAAACAGCAAAUUACCACUCGCGAAUCGGUAUGAACAGAAGAAACAACUUUUAGCAACAGACUAACACAUUUUUAUUCUUUCAAACACAUGGGCUCAACUCACCAAAAUGAUAGAAAAUUCCGCACGAGCUAUCCGUGGCCUGUCUCAUCUACUUCCACGUGCGAAAAGACCUAGCUCAUGUGAAAUGAUGGUCUGGUGUUUUGGAAGACGGGGCUAAAACCACCUUCAACCAAUGAAAAAGGCAUUUAUCCCUUGUGAUCCGGCAACAGGAAAAAUAAAGUUUGCUGAAGGAUCACACUUCCUUUUUUCAAAAUAAAUGUUGCUUUUCAAAAUAAAAGAAUGAAAAUACAUUUAUACAAAUAAAGCGAAAACAAGAAAGAAUAACAAAGGCAGUUUUCUCUACCGGGUUACAUAUGCACUUCCUAAAUUGAUAGCUUUCUCUUUAUAACAGCAUUUGGGACAAACAUUUCAAAGUGCUUAACAAAAUAAAGCAAUGAAUUGGAAUUUGCUAAGGAAGGGGUCAACUAGGUACAAAUAUAAACUUUAGUACUAAGGUGCAUGUAGUUGGAAUUAACAAGACUAAAACAACUAACAUUGCAUGGCAUACUCACAAAGGUCCAUAGAUAAGUCCUCAUAAAGGGCCUGUAGAGGUAACUGUGAACACAACUAAUGCAGUCUGCAAAGCUAUCUUUCUGCAGGUGGAGAUGGCAUCUGGAUAACAGACGGAGAUGCAGAGGUCCUGGAGCAGGUGCUGGCGAUACGAGUGUGAGGGGACAACGGAGUGAAACAGGCUGCUCCAGACAGCUGAACCAUGACCCAUCCAGCAGCCGUUGAAUCUGCUGCAGAGCCUACAGCCCAAGUGGAGCCAUACAGUGCCCAAACCAGCUUCCGAAUGAUGGAUGUGCAAGAUCAACUACUACCCAUCGCCGACCUUGACUUUAAUCAAGAAUAGGACCAAGUCGUCUCGAGUAUUCUUAGAAGCUAUGCAAGAUCCAGCAGUCAAGAAGUACCAUAAGAGACUUUUCUCGGACUCAUAAAUUAGUUGAAAUAUGGACUGAAAAAGGGACACAAGUUGAGUAAAGGUUGAAGCUGCUGCAGAGAAAUGUCAACCUUGAAGCUACCAAAGGACAUUUCAAAGCCCACACUGAGAAGUCUGUUCAGAAAUAGAAGUUGCACCUGACCAAGAUGAAACCCAAAACUUGGAAUUAAUUGUUUAAUUGUAUUAUUUUUAAUGCCAUUUAUGGUGUUGUGUAAGCCAUGUAUGUAUUAUGUGUCUCUACUGAUGUGUUUUAUGCCUUACUUUCAUUUUCUUGUAAUUAGGCUGAUUUUUAAGUUUCUUGAGUAUUCUGUUAAGGAUACUGUGUAGUAUGAUUUGCAAAUGAAGAUGAAUCAAUUUGUCUUAAAUUAAUUGACUAAGAGAAAUGGAAUAUUGGGAGAAUGUUAUGUUGAUGACUAUGAGGUUUUUGGUGGAAGGAAGGGCUUAUUCAUUUGAGCAAUAACUGUGUGGGAUCUUUAUACAAAUUCUUAUGUUCUAUUUAGAGCUUGCUUUAAAAUAUGUUAGCAAAAAAACAGCGCACGCAUUAGUUUUCACAAUUUUUGUUCUUUUUUAGUUAUGGGGUCUUUUUAGGUGGUACCUCUAGGUACCACAGGGGGGAAUGUGGUGGAUUUUUGUGUGAUAUGUAUAACUAUGUAACUAUAUACACUAUAUAUCUAUGUGCACUGAACAUAUAUAUUUUAACUUUCAUAUAGAGUCUUAAGCACAAGACAUUUUUGCUUCAUUGAGGUUUAUUAAGUUGGUACAGUAACAGGGCAGUUAAUGCUGUUGAGAGUUCGCCUGAAUAACUCACUCUCCAGCUCUGGUAACUAACCUCCUCCAAUACACACUCAACGUCUUUCAUGCAGCACAACCAAAACAGUAACAUUGUAACAGAGAUCCUGAACACACACACACACACACACACGCACACAAUAAAUGUUACAUGGUAGCAGAGAUACUGAAAACAACAUAAUGAGAUCACUGUCAUGUACACACACACACUAUAAACCUACACUGGAGUGUUUAUUUUUAUGUAAUGCAUUUAACUCAUAUAUUUGAUGUAGUUAGGCCAAGUAUUAUUCACAAAAACUAUGCUAUUUGCUGUACUAAUGUGUGACCUUUGACCAUGUUGUGACCUAUUGUCAGAGGGUAAAGCAAAGGGUUAACCUAUUGGUGUCACUUUGGACCGGGCCCUCAGCCAGCGCCAGGUGUGAACUCUGGCCGCUAUCUGACCCCAGCAGCUGUGCUGGGCGUGUGGGAAAGUUACCAGGCAGCAGGGGGCGGCGACACUGGCCCCUAUAUUAGGGGACCAGAGGACGCCCCCGGGGCUCUUUUCCUCCUGCUGCUGCUACCUGUCCGUCUCUGUGUUGCUCUGCUGUCUGUGCUUAAGGCUGUACACCCCGGGGUUUUGCUUUACUUGCUUUCUGCUAUGUAAUUCUCUUGCUAAAUGUCUGUAUGUAUUUUUCCUGCUGUUCAUAUGAUUCAGUGUAUUAAACUCUGUUCCAAGAAUUCUACUCUUUUACAGAGCAUCUUUUUGAGUGUCUUGAUUUUAAUUGGAUUUGGAUCUCCACAUCGUUGGUGGGAGAAGGUUAUCAGAAUGGCUUCAAAAUUUGCGACCACAAAGGCUCAUUUCCUUAUGUCUCUAAUUCCUGUUUUUCCUGUUUUGUGCUUCCCUGUUCCCUUUGCCCUUUUCCGUGUGAACCAAAAAUCAGUCUGUGUUUUAUGCUGAAAGAUGUCUUGAUUCAAAAAAUGCAUCAUGAGUGGAGAGGAGGCUGCAAGAGGAGCUGUAAUGGAAAAUGCACAAGUGUUAUCUUCAACAUAUAAAAGAAGCAUGGCUACAGCUGGAACAAUUAUUAUUUCCAUUAUUUUAGUAAUAAAAACAGUAAUAUUAAUAACAAUUGUAAUAAAUAUAAAAAAAUAUUAGCAACUGUAAGAAAAAUAACAGCAGUACUACCAAUAACAGCGGGGACAUAGAUCAGUAGGUAGUGUUCAUAAGGUCGGGGGUUCAAAUCCACCAAAAGGCUACCCUGAGGUACCCCUGAGCAAGGUACCGUUGAUACGGUACAAUUAACCAAUGAUCGCCCACUACCACACUGCUCCCGGGCUGCUUCACUGAGUGAAUGGGUUAAAUGCAGAGGAAUAAUUUCCCCACUGGGAUUAAUAAAGUAUAGAUACAUUAACGACAGUGGCAAAAACAACAGAAACAGUUUCAAUUCCAUUUCAUUUAUACAGCACCAAACCGCAACAACAGUUGACUCAAGGCGCUUUAUAUCGUAAGGUAGACCCUACAAUAAUACAUUCAUAUGAUUGUGGUCAACAAUCAUAUGACCCUUAAUAGGAAGCACUUUGGCAACAGUGGGAAGGAAAAACUCCCCUUUAACAGGAAGAAACCUCCGGCAG